rnacentral:rRNA from 1 species
AGUGAACGCUGGCGGUAGGCCUAACACUUGCAAGUCGAACGGCAGCACAGUAAGAGCUUGCUCUUACGGGUGGCGAGUGGCGGACGGGUGAGGAAUACAUCGGAAUCUACUUUUUCGUGGGGGAUAACGUAGGGAAACUUACGCUAAUACCGCAUACGACCUACGGGUGAAAGCAGGGGAUCUUCGGACCUUGCGCGAUUGAAUGAGCCGAUGUCGGAUUAGCUAGUUGGCGGGGUAAAGGCCCACCAAGGCGACGAUCCGUAGCUGGUCUGAGAGGAUGAUCAGCCACACUGGAACUGAGACACGGUCCAGACUCCUACGGGAGGCAGCAGUGGGGAAUAUUGGACAAUGGGCGCAAGCCUGAUCCAGCCAUACCGCGUGGGUGAAGAAGGCCUUCGGGUUGUAAAGCCCUUUUGUUGGGAAAGAAAAGCAGCAGGUUAAUACCCCGCUGUUUUGACGGUACCCAAAGAAUAAGCACCGGCUAACUUCGUG